AGAAAAAGAUUCAUCCAUGGAGGGCAUGAAUGAUGACCAUAUGCAUGGCAUGGUGAUGCACAACACAUCAGAUGGCGGCAUGAACAUGACGAAGCACCAUAAGAUGAUGAUGCAUAUGACCUUCUUUUGGGGCAGCGACGCCGAGAUUCUCUUCUCCGGUUGGCCGGGAACCAGAACCAGCAUGUACGUCUUGGCCCUCAUAGUUGUCUUCCUGCUUGCUUUCAUGGUGGAGGGGAUUUCUCACUCUCGGUUGGUGAAACCCGGUUCCACCCACCACGUGACCGCCGGUCUGGUUCAGACUUUGUUGCAUGCUCUGAGGGUUGGACUCGCGUAUCUGGUGAUGUUGGCUAUCAUGUCUUUCAACGGUGGCGUUUUCUUGGCCGCCGUGGCUGGCCAUUCUCUGGGGUUUUUAUUAUU
rnacentral:lncRNA from 1 species